GACGAUUUGGGUUUCUGGAUUGGCCGAGUGUUUUGCCUGGAGGGCGGACAUCUAGAGGGCUGGUUGGUGACUCGGCUGAAGAGGACCCCUCCUGGAGUAGCGGUUGUGUUUCCUCUGGCGCAUGUGUAGGGUACACGUGUGUCUGCUCGCCGGGAGCCAACUGUGGAGAACUUUUCACGGAUUGGAAAGGCACCGUGUUAAGCUAGGAGUGCGAAAGACCGUCCUUACUGGUUUGCCUCUCCACUUUCACCUCGGGUCUGCCAAUCAUUACUUUUCAUCUGGGAUGAUUGUUAUGAAAGUGAGAGGUGCAGCGGACUAGAAGUUUAAAUUCCACUUGCUAAAAGAUCUUAAACCAGUAGGUGGAUACAGGAGAAUCGACGAUGAACUCCACCCUCUACUAGAUAGAUCUGCCAAGUUCUCCAUUAAAGGUUCUUCCCUACCUACCACUGCUAUUGAACAAUGAAGGUCUAAAUAUGUCAACGAAGUAAAACUAAGAUGUGGCCUUCACCAACCAUGAGCUCACCUAUUACUCCCCAAAGCCAAAGACAAGGCAAUAAACUUAUCACGGGCUGCUGGUCAAACUGGAUGGGGAGAAGUGAAGCAAGGGAUUAAGAAAAUCAGUCUACGGUCAAGUUUUCUGCUUGUAUAGCUCAAGUGAGAAUAGCCAGAAAGGAAAACCAGUUGGAGUCGUUCCAACCAGGAGACCCCUUGCUUUCCUCCUCUUUUAAACUUUCUUAAGGAAAAACAACAAGGUUUCUUUGUUUGGGUCAGCCUUGGUUAUUCAGAGCCUCAGGCAUGGAGGUCUUCAAAUGUGCCUGUGUCCGAUCUGUCCCUCUCUGGAGUCUGGAUCAGCAGCUCACAAGGACAGAGACUGGCAUGGAUAUGUCGACCUACAUGACAGGCCAUGAAGAUGUGAUAUCUGGAGCUACAGCAGGCAUUUGACAACCACAGGUGACGAAGCAGACAAAAAGCCAACAUGUUGUAUGUUAGGAAGAUGAAAAGAACGCGAAUCUUUAAUGAGCUGGAGAUUUAACCAGGGCCUCGCUCAAGCUAGGCAAGAGUUCAGGCUCCUAGCCACGCCACCAGCCCUCCUUUUCAUCUUAAUGACUUCUGUACUGUUUGAAGAGAAAUAAUUUAUCGACCUUCACAAUCAAAGACCCUCUCUGUAACUGCCGACGGAGGGGCGGAGCCUACCCGCUGUCUGCCCGGUCCAGCAGCGCCAGGCUAAACACCAGACUCCAGACUCCAACAGAAAUCACCGUAGUUGGCAUGGAGACCGCUGGCCCUUACAAGCUCAGCUCUUUAGAGCGUUUUAGGAGCACGUCUUAGCUAGGCCCUCUUCCUCUGCUCCUUCCUGGUGGAUCCCCCACUGCCCACCCAGAGCCUACUGCUCUCCCUCGGAGCAUUGCCCCUGGACGCACCUGCUGGGUCUCCAGCUCCCUCAGGAUUCUAAAGUCUUCUAGGCUGGUGGUGACUCCUGCACUGCUGCCUCCGGCUCGGCCGCCUCCCACAAGUUGGAUUCUGGUGGAACAAAUUUCCAUGUCCUGCCCUCCAGAAGAGUUUUUCAAGUCCUUGUGACCACCGUGGCUGACGUGGAGGAUUCUUGGUCACAGAGCCAUCUUGAAUCACGGUAGUUUUGAAGCAG